rnacentral:rRNA from 1 species
CCCUUAGAUGUUCUGGGCCGCACGCGCGCUACACUGAUGCAUGCAACGAGUUUAUAACCUUGGCCUGAAAGGUCUGGGUAAUCUUUUGAACGUGCAUCGUGAUAGGGAUAGAUUAUUGCAAUUGUUAAUCUUGAACGAGGAAUUCCUAGUAAACGCGAGUCAUCGGCUCGCAUUGAUUACGUCCCUGCCCUUUGUACACACCGCCCGUCGCACCUACCGAUUGAAUGGUUCGGUGAAGAUCUCGGACUUCGAUAUUUAUUCUUUAUUGAGUUUAUAUUGUGGGAAGUUAUCUAAACCUCAUCAUUUAGAGGAAGGUGAAGUCGUAACA